AUAGAUAGUGUCGUACUUCAACAAUAACAAAACCAUGUUACAUUCAAAGCUUUAUUACAAUGAAUGACAAACAACUACACACGUAGUAGAGAUCACAACACGACAUAGGGUCAGUACACAGUCUAACAAAUGUAAACAAACACUAGGGGCGACAAUCAAAUAAAUAUAUUCGCGAUAGAUAGAUAUCACGCAGAAUGUUUGGAUUAUAAUUCCAAACACCUUGAUCUACAUUUAAAGUUAUAAUAACCCUAUCCUUGACAACUCACCCUUCAUUUCUCAAUGUUGACCUAGUGCCGGCAUUCGGGCUCUUCUUGAGAAAAGCGGACGUCACCUGAUCUGAAGUUCUUUCCGGGGGCACAGGCUCUUUAGGUGUCUUGGUGGACAGCCUGAUCGCUGCGGAAAGCAAACGACGGUAGGUAACAAGAAAAAUAUUUUAAGGAAGACUUAACUUAUAUAUUUUGUAG